AGAAAGACAUCAUGUGGGACUACCUCAGGUGACGGAUGUUGCUCUGGUGCACGUUAUAUGAAUAGUCGUGACUAGAGUGACACUCGUCGACUGAGGAAGUCAUUUUCAUCUGUGGUUAAA
rnacentral:precursor_RNA from 12 species